CCUACGGGUGGCAGCAGUGAGGAAUAUUGGUCAAUGGACGAGAGUCUGAACCAGCCAAGUAGCGUGAAGGAUGACUGCCCUAUGGGUUGUAAACUUCUUUUAUAUGGGAAUAAAAUGUUCCACGUGUGGGCUUUUGUAUGUACCAUAAGAAUAAGAAUCGGCUAAGUCCGUACCAGGAGCCGCGGUAAUACGGAGGAUACGGGCGUUAUCCGGAUUUAUUGGGUUUAAAGGGAGCGUAGGGGGUUUGUUAAGUCAGUUGUGAAAGUUUGCGGCUUAACCGUAAAAUUGCAGUUGAAACUGGGAGGCUUGAGUACAGUAGAGGGGGGUGGAAUUCGUGGUGUAGCGGUGAAAUGCUUAGAUAUGACGAAGAACUCCGAUUGCGAAGGCAGCUCACUGGACUGCAACUGACGCUGAGGCUCGAAAGUGUGGGUAUCAAACAGGAUUAGAUACCCCUGUAGUC
rnacentral:rRNA from 1 species